rnacentral:rRNA from 1 species
AGCAGCCGCGGUAAUUCCAGCUCCAAUAGCGUAUAUUAAAGUUGUUGCAGUUAAAAAGCUCGUAGUUGAAUUUCGGGAUCAAUUUAUCGGUCGUGCCUUCGGUACGUACUGGUGUUACUGAUUCCUACCUUCUGACGAACCAUCAUGUCAUUUAUUUGGUGUGGCGGGGAAUCAGGACUGUUACUUUGAAAAAUUAGAGUGUUUAAAGCAGGCUCGCGCUUGAAUACAUUAGCAUGGAAUAAUGAAAUAGGACGUUGACCCUAUUUUGUUGGUUUCUAGGAUUGACGUAAUGAUUAAUAGGGAUAGUUGGGGCAUUAGUAUUCAAUUGUCAGAGGUGAAAUUCUUGGAUUUUAUUGAAGUACUAACUACUGCGAAAGCAUUUUGCCAAGGAUGUUUUCAUUAAUCAAGAACGAAAGUUAAGGGGAUCGAAGACGAUCAGAUACCGUCGUAGUCUUAACCAUAAACUAU